rnacentral:rRNA from 1 species
GACAUGUGGGGCAAGCGUUGUUCGGAAUCACUGGGCAUAAAGGGUGCGUAGGCGGCUUGUUAAGUCAGAGGUGAAAGUUUUCGGCCCAACCGGAAAAUGGCCUUUGAUACUGGCGAGCUGGAGUGCGUGAGGGGUGACUGGAACGAGUGGUGUAGCGGUGAAAUGCGUAGAUAUCAGGAGGAACACCGGUGGUGUAAACGGCUUUCUGGACCAUAACUGACGCUGAGGCACGAAAGCGUGGGUAGCAAACAGG